UCAGAGCUUUUUCGGUAAUUGAAGAAAGGUUUCUGUAAUUACUAAACAGGUAAUUGCAGAAACACCCACAACACUUUCACUGCAAAAAAAUCCUCAUGUCAUUGACACAAUCUGAAAACUAAGACGCUGACUUUAUCCACUACGAAGCGCGUGUGAGCACCGCACUGAGGGACACCUUUUCCAGGCAGCCCCGCGGAUUAAGUCGGGGCAACGGCACCGCGCAACCAUUCACCGUCCCGGAGCAAGCAGCCCGACAGAUCGUGCGAGUCAAGAGGGGCAGACAGGCUGGCAGCCAACCGAGAGCUGGGCCCGCGUUUGCCCGGCCGGGCGCGGGUCGCCACCGUGGCGAGCCGGCACGGGCGCGACUCCGGCGCAAUCGACCGCCAUCCGCGCUCCCGGGGACAUCCAGUCCCUGGAGAGCAAGCCUGAUUCUGCCUCGGACCCUACUCCACCUAAAGCCAGAAUCUUGGAGCGCUGGGACUGUGGCACCACUACGUUCUGGGGCUCGACCCAAAUUCCCCAAGUCUAGUCCAGCACCUACCACCACUUCCUACCUUCAUCUCGAAGCUACCGAUCGCCCUCUAGGCGCCACGAAAAAGAGACCCGACUUCCGCUUAGUCCAGGUCACAUAGAGCUUUCAGUUCUCGCGAGAGCACAGACGCUUGGGAAAGCAGAAGUCGCCGGACUGUCUGCUGUGGCUGACUCUCGGCAGUGAGGUACCCUUUCACUGCGGGGUGCGUCCUGCACCCUCGAUUCUGGACAAGGCCGGGCCCCUGCUCUGUACCUGAUGGCCUAAAUGUGGCAGCUUUAAAGCAGGAGGCCCCAUCCGGGGAUUGACUUCUCUCGGGCUGUCUCUCCGUCGAGCUCUGCGGGAAGAUUUCCAGCCCUUCCCUGGCCCCAGGGAUUCCUGAACUCCUGAAAGCCGAGGCUCGUUUUUUUCCUUUAAAAUACUGGGUCGCUAGGCUCGGUAGUGCACACACCUGUAAUCCCAGCACCUGGGAGGCUGAGUCAGAAGGAUCGUGGCGAGUUCGAGGCCAGCCUGGACUAUAUAGCGAGACCCCGUCGCAAAACAAAACACCCGAAAACCAGGGUCAUCCGCUUGGCUUUGCAGUGUUUUCUGCCUUAUCGCGGAAUGACACCCUCAGUCACCCUCCCGCAAAGUCAGUAGGUAUUAUCUCAAGUCCAGAUAAACAUUAUAUGUUCAGAUGCCUA